GACGAACGCUGGCGGCGUGCUUAACACAUGCAAGUCGAACGGAAAGGCCCUGCUUUUGUGGGGUGCUCGAGUGGCGAACGGGUGAGUAACACGUGAGUAACCUGCCCUUGACUUUGGGAUAACUUCAGGAAACUGGGGCUAAUACCGGAUAGGAGCUCCUGCUGCAUGGUGGGGGUUGGAAAGUUUCGGCGGUUGGGGAUGGACUCGCGGCUUAUCAGCUUGUUGGUGGGGUAGUGGCUUACCAAGGCUUUGACGGGUAGCCGGCCUGAGAGGGUGACCGGGCACAUUGGGACUGAGAUACGGCCCAGACUCCUACGGGAGGCAGCAGUGGGGAAUAUUGCACAAUGGGCGGAAGCCUGAUGCAGCAACGCCGCGUGCGGGAUGACGGCCUUCGGGUUGUAAACCGCUUUAGCCUGUGACGAAGCGUGAGUGACGGUAAUGGGUAAAGAAGCACCGGCUAACUACGUG
rnacentral:rRNA from 1 species